GCUCUGCUGCCAGGAGGUGGGCAUAUUCGCGCUGGGAAAAUACGAUCACGCCGUGUUUCACCGCUGCUCCUGCAGGAUGAGGGUGCUGUGCGCUCAGAGGCACUGCGCCGUCUGCCGGGAGCAGCUGGGCGAGACCUUCCCUGUGAGCAGAAGUGGUACAGUCACACAGACCUGGCUUGGCACAAAGCAGAGGGGAACCCAGACGCCACUUCGUCGGUUUUGUGAUGUCUGUUACCCGGACAAUGACGAGCUACUGAGGAACCUGGACACGGAACACGUUUUUCGGUCACUUCUGCAAUGCUGGCGGCAUGCAGGACUACUUUGGGUGUAGAGGACAGGCCCCUCCUCAGCAGGCAGAGAGUGGCAUUGGGGCCUGGAGCCUGUCCCAGACAGCAUGGGGCCACGAAGUAUACCCUGGAGAGGAUGCCAGUCUGGUUCAGGGCGCUGGUACGUAAACACAUACAAGCACAGUCUAAAGAGAGAGAUGCUGAUUAGUAUAACUGUGUGUCUUCAGAGGUCAACAUUGGGAACCAGAAGAAAUCUAUGCAGCACAGAGUGAGCAUGCAAACUCUCAAACCCCCCAUUGCUGAAGGAGUCGGGCAACACUGCGAAUCACUGAGCCACCAUGCUGCCCAUUUAUUGUCCUUGUGUGUUGUUUUUGUGGAUGGGUUUCUCCUGAAAUGCAUAGUCAAACCCUGCAGAUGGCGAUAAAUAUGAAAUAUUUUGUUUGUCUGACAUGUUUAUGUGACUUUCAGCAUUUAGCCAUUUGGGUGUCUGGCCACAGCAGAAGUACUUUCUCAACAGUACGGCAACAGGCCCAGGAUCUGAACGAGGUAAUUUCCUCAGCUUGUUUGAGGACCCGCCCCUUCUUCCUAGCCAAUGGCAAACACCUCCAUCCAAGAGGGUGACUUUUCAGCACUCGUGUCCAGAAUCUGUCCCUGCUGUCCCCAAGGCAACACUAGCUGUGCUUGGGGGCACCGUGGCAAUAUGCUCCUCACAAGAAAGCUACCACCUACCUCUGUUUCUGCUGCCCUCUGUUGGACGAUCAUCUCACUGCAGGAAGAAUCCUACCGCCGGGGUCCAAGUCAAUUCCAAAUGAAAUCUAAGGAGUCGGUAAUAAUAGCCCGUCAGGAAUCCCCUAUGAUGGGAAAAAAAACUAACAGAGAAGAUUCUGAAGAGGAGCCAGAGGAUGGUGGCCAGAAUUCCACACGUGAACCAUUUGCCAGCAGAUGCUAACUACGCCUCACACUUGAUGGAGACACGUGUGUCUUCCCCAACAGCCUUAUCACUGGCAUGGUGACAGGUGAUCUUUGUUAACUGGUAGCAGCAGUGAAAAGCACUGGAUAAAAGAAACGUGACGUUAUUUAUUUAUGCGUUUUUCUGUGGGCGGCUGUGUUUUCACGCUGUUUACAGAUAAAGGGCGUCUCUGAAUGGGUGGCUAUGUCUAUGUCGUCUGUCGAUGGCACAGUUUGGAAACUUGACCAGAAAUCCAUGUUGUUUUAACUCUAACAGAUGAAGGGACAGUCUGUGUUGGUCUUGUUAAAACUAAUGGUGCUGUUUUGCAACAUUUUCUCAUCGGGGUACUUUAUAUAGUAUUUAAAAAACAUGAUUUGUGAUUUGUUACUGGAUUCUCAUUAAAGUACUAUAACCACAUGUAGUUUAGAGAGAACCUACAGCAUUCAAUGCGUGUAUUAUAUAUUGAUGUCAGUAAUCCUGAAUUAUGAAUAUGAUGAUAUGGGGAUUAAAGACUCGUGAAAAACA